UGAUCACACUGCGCAUGCUCUUGUUCAAGGCUUUUUCCCCAAUCUACUUGUGCGAGCUGGAUGCUUGUGUGCAUGGGGAUCAGGACACAACAUUGGUCUAGAAAGAAUACUUUUUGAUAUUACAAUGAGAGUGAAUAAUCAACGGCUUGUCCACCAACCCCUAAAAUCAAACCUAACUAAACUUUCUCGUUUCGUGAAAAUUGUCGAUAAUGCCGGAUGGCCCAUUACGCAUUUUCCUCGACUUGGAGGACAGCAAAUAACAUCAUGAUGAAGUUUGACAACAGUGUGCAUUCCCAUUUGGCUGUCUUCCCUCACAGAGAUGUGCGCCGUCACUAAGGAAUCAGUAGAUAUAAAAACAGGUCAACCACUCCAUGCUGAGGGAAGGUGCUAUUGGUUACUUGAAGCUCACUUUGCCAUAGCAGCGCACAACAGCGAGACACCGGGAGUGGUCGCCCCCCCAGAGCUGAUACUGGCCAACUACAGCACCUCGAAAUGCACAGGAAGCUCAGUAGUAAAUUUUCAAGGCAACUGUGUGGCACCUGUGAGUGGCAUCGAGGGAACUCCAUGGAGUGGGUAACGCUAAGCACAUCUGAGGCGGCAGGCCACUCCAGUACACAAUCAUCGACGAACUGAACGGAAUGUUCGACCGCUGUCAAGUCUUGCAUGAGUGCCUGGCAUGCCGGAGAGUGAUUUAACUUGCUUUAGCUUGCUGCUUCCGUAUUCACCACUGAUUGGACCUGGCUGUUUGCAGCACAUUGUGAUCAAGUUUUCAGUCGAUUUUUCAGACUUAUUUUCCCCCAUUUUCCCUUUUCAACACCUGGACUAAAACAGGAUGUCAAUAAAAAUGAACACAAAAUGCGGCACUUGCUGAGCGAUGCAUCGAU